CGCCCCUUUUCAGAACUAAGUUUGGUUGUCUGUGUUUCGUUUGCAUUUCCACAGCUUGAAGGUGAAGAUCUCCCACAUAAUGACUCCGAAGCUCCAUACAUCGCUCUCAGUGGAGAACUUCCUGUACAUGAUGCUCUCCGGAGGCAUCCAGCGUAUGGGCAGCAUGGUGUGACCUCCCACCUACAAGAAAGAUUACACCUCAAGCAUCGCUCACAAACAUCUUACGUGUCAUGCUCCGUUCCUGUGGCCAGACACUCGAGCCCCAGAAGACAACAAACGUCAAUAUGACUCGCCAUGUGUGGAUUACGUGCUUGGCAGGAUCCUCUAUUUAUAAUCACUUGACACAGUGAACGUGUCCAAUGCGGUAAUAAUUUCGUAAUCUCUCCGCUUUUUCAAUAUCGCAGACUGUGCGUAAGCUUGUGUAUGUGCGGCUGAUAAAGAUGUUUCUAGCCUUCAGCUUACGACUGCCUUGAAUACAAAGACUCACUCCACAAUCCAAUUUCUCAGUGGAAUAGUUUGCUGUCCUUGGCAUUUAGCUCGAUCUAAUAGGUUGCUACUGUUAGCACAAAUAAAGGAAAAUCACAUUUGGAAUAUUUAUAGAUUGGGAUUGUAAAUAGAAAACAUUUUAUUUUUUUAAACAACAGACUUUAUGUUGUGUUCUGGUCGUUUUGACCUGG